GACGAACGCUGGCGGCGUGCCUAAUACAUGCAAGUCGAGCGGACGUUGUUGGAGCUUGCUCCAACAACGUUAGCGGCGGACGGGUGAGUAACACAUGGGCAACCUGCCUUAACGACUGGGAUAACUCCGGGAAACCGGGGCUAAUACCGGAUAACAUCUAGCACCUCCUGGUGCAAGAUUAAAAGAGGGCCUCUGGCUCUCACGUUAAGAUAGGCCCGCGGCGCAUUAGCUAGUUGGAGAGGUAAUGGCUCCCCAAGGCGACGAUGCGUAGCCGACCUGAGAGGGUGAUCGGCCACACUGGGACUGAGACACGGCCCAGACUCCUACGGGAGGCAGCAGUAGGGAAUCUUCCGCAAUGGACGAAAGUCUGACGGAGCAACGCCGCGUGAGUGAAGAAGGGUUUCGGCUCGUAAAGCUCUGUUAUGAGGGAAGAACACGUACCGUUCGAAUAGGGCGGUACCUUGACGGUACCUCAUCAGAAAGCCACGGCUAACUACGUGCCAGCCGCCGCGGUAA
rnacentral:rRNA from 1 species